rnacentral:lncRNA from 1 species
GGCCCUGCAGGCGGAGAGCCGGCUGUCCAGGGGCUUUCCUCCCUGGGCGCCCGAGGGGCACGGCGCUCGCAGGACUCAUGCACACACCAGCUGCGGCAGAAGCUGAAGGACGCAGCCAGAACAAUCCUUGGCCUCUGCCAGGAGAAGGAGCAGCUCAUGGAGAUGGGGAACAGGCUCCGGGCAGAACUGGGCCGCGGCCGAGGGAUGGCAGGGAAACCACCUGUGGCCCCGAGCCCAGGUGCGGCCCCCAGCCCAGGUGCAGCCCGGAGCCCAGGCACGGCCCCCAGCCCAGGUGCAGCCCCGAGCCCAGGCAGAGCGUCCAGGGAGUCCUCGGCUGGAGCCUUGCCCUCAGGACAGCUGCAACCCCCUUUCACAACUCAGGACUCUAAGGGUGCCAAGGAGCCUUUUCGUGAACGCCUGGGGAAGAACCGCCCCCACCUGGCCUCAGCUGCGGGCAGGAGCGCCUCGGCGAGCAGCCGGCGGGCAGGCGCGGCGCCAAUGCCUGCUCAGGUACAGCCGCGCCGGGCUCCGCCCGCGCAGGAGGGCACGUCACAGCCGGCCGCUGACCGAGUCUGCCGAAGCAGCUGACCAGAGACAGGCGGGCUUCCGUGACGGAGCCGGGAGGGUGGACGCUGGGGUUCCGAGGCUGUGAGCACGUCGAAUCGGGGCGCCUCCGGGGUGCUGACUCGCCAGAGGCCGGCUGCUGGCGGCACACGGGCCAGGCAGGGUGGCAGCCAGACCACGUGUCCUCCAGCUUGCCGCCCGCACCCACUGCAAGUGAGCAGCCCGUGGCCUGGCCCCAGCUGCUCCACGGCCCCUCAGGGCUUCUCGAGGCUCAUGGUCUCCCCAAGCUCCGCCGCACCCUGCGGUCUCUCCCAGGCUCUCUCCCUGCAUGUCCCUCCUGCACACAGAGGACUCGGCAGGAAGCUGCGCUGUGAUGACGCACCCCCGCUGAGGGCUCGGCAGGCCUGGCUGGAGUCGCCCACGGCGCCCACGGGCUGUAGGCCCGCGUGGCGCCACGGCACAGCUCCCGCGGCGGCCUGGAGGCCGACUCGUCAGGAAGAGGACGGGUCCUCGGAGCCCCCCGAGGCCUGCGGCCGGCAGGCGUCCUCCUUGGCCAGCAGCUCCCUGCAGGACACGUGGCGGCUCCUGGAGCUGGGGUCCAGCCCCUCCGGCCUCAGCGCCCAGGACAGCACAGCCUCAGGUAGGGGGCGGCCUCUGGCCUGCACGAGGCCCAGGCGAUGGUGGUGGGACGCAAGGGGCCUGUCAGCGCUGCGCCCCCACCCCUGCCUGGUGGACCCCAGGGUCUCCUUCCCUCUGUGGCGGUGCCUGCUGCUUCCCGCAUCCCCCGCCGCCGUGCGGAGCCUGAGCCGCCUCCCUGCGGCUGGCGCAGCGUCACAGGCCUGCCUCUGACAGGGCCCUUGUCCCCCGCCGCUGGCUCGGCCGUCUCACCUCUGCUCUCUGCCCCAGAAGCCUCACGCCCAGGAGCUCGGCAGGCCGCAGCUUCGUGCGCGCUGUGCAUCGCCGUGAGGCUCGAAGGGCCCGUCUUGGGGCUUCGCGCGAAACCACACGUGGCAGGAGGGCAAGGCAGGCGAAGGCAGCCAGACCACCCAGCGGGAGUGAGGAGAGGGAUGGGGGAUGCCGCAGCCCCGCGCCGUCCAGCUGGCCGUGCUCCUGUAGGCCUUGGUCUCCCGUCAACGGACACUUGAGGCUGUUUCCAGUCUUCUGCCGUUACCAAAAGUGCUGUGGCGGUCAGCGUGUGUGCCAGGCAGCCCGGGAGAGGGGGUCCAGGUUCCCGAGGGCGCUGGUUCGGCCAGAAGGUCUGAGCGUUGGCCGGUGCAGUAGACUGGCCAGCUGGCCUCUGCGGGCGCGGGCGCCUCCUCCAGCCCCCCUCGCACCGUCCCUGCCGUGCACGUUCCACCCUACUCGGGGCUCGCGCGCAGCCUCCCGUGCCUCUGCUGCCCCACGCCUGUCCGUGCAGGCUGCUCUGCUGUCCUUUCCUUCCCAAGGGGCUCGUGGUGACGCAAACGAGGCCUUGUCUGGGGCGUGAGCUGCAGAUGUCUCCCCAGGCUUCCUUGCAGUGGUUUUUGUCACUCCUGUAAGUAUACAUACAUAUGCAUAUGCACGUACAGACAUAGUUACAUAGUUCACUUAGUGUGCUUUUAAAAGUCACGUGUGGGUUUUGUGCCACACUUAGACCCGUUCCAUUCCAAGAUUAGAAAUUAUUCUCCCAGUUUCUUCUAAUACAGCUAUGGUUUCGAUUCUUAAAAAAACAUUGAAAUCCAUGAUCUGUUUGGGAUUUAUCACCAGAAACCAGCCUUUUUCUCCCCAGAGGGCCAGUCAGAUGCCAACACCAGUUACCGAAGGCUCCCUGCUUCCCAGCACUGUUCUGUCCAUCCGGCCACUGGCCACUCAUCCAACGCCAUGGGGUCAGAGCGGUCAUGACACCAUGCUUCGUCCAUUCAAGGGUCAUCUCAAUGUCAAGUUGAAAUAACCAUCUGUAGUAGUCAGCCAAAGGGACGCUGAUCAAAAUACCAGAAAUCGGCUGGUUUUUAUAAAGGGUAUUUAUGCGGGGUAGGAGCUUACAGAUCCCAGGUCAUGAAGCAUCAGUUACUUCCCUCACCAAAGUCUAUUUCCACGUGUUGGAGCAAGAUGGGUGCCGACGUCCGCAGGGUUCAGGCUUCCCGGGUUCCUAUCUUCCCAGGGCUCCGGCUUAAGGCUUUAGCGUCAAACUCCAACAUCAAAACCCUCAGCUCUGUCCUUCGCCAUGCCUUUUAUCUGAGUCCCCACCCACCAAGGGGCAGGACUCAACGCCCUACUGGCACAAGAGGUUUACACAAUUACUUCGUCAAGUAAGCCUCCGAAUCAAAUAUAGUCUAAUAUGCCCAGAGGUGUGAAUGCCCUGGCCAGCGGGGCAGGGAACGGGGGCUCGUGGUCGCGCGGAGGAGAAUGGUGAGACAGGAGACGCGAGGAAUGACAGCGAGACAGGGUGAGGAUCAAGCUGCAAAGUUUUAUUGUGAGAACAAAGCAUUUAUACUCUUGGGAAGGGGAGGGGUAGUGGGAGGGAUGGCGGUUAGGGACUGGCUAUUGCUGUCACUAGGGGAAGUGGCAGGGUCCAGGGACUGGCUGUUGCCGUUGCUGGGGUGGAGGGCAGACUUCAAUUUCGCGCCUUGCGCCUGCGCGUUACUGUGUUAGCCUAGGCAGUGGCGGGAACAGAGAACAAAGGAGCAGGGAGGGAGAAGAACCAGGAAAUGGGCUCCGCUCCGGCAGCCAUGCUAUUGGCAUCGCUGAUCUUAGCGCACGCCCUCACCAAUCGUCCCCAACACAGAGGAAAAGGUCAGUUUACAAACAUAAUUGAAUAUUUCUUUUUGGAAUUCAUCAAUAAUAUCAAACUGCUACACCAUCCUUCCAUACUUCCUUUUCAAAAUUUUCCUGGUUUUUCUCAUUUAUUUUUUUCCAUUUGAAGUUCAGAUUCAACUUGUCUGAAUUUCCCAUCCCCUCCCCAAAGAACCCUGUUGUUAGUUUUCUCAGGAUUCAUCAAAUUCAUAUUCUGGCUUACAGCGAAUCAGCAUCGUCGAGAUACUGUUCUCUCCUCUCUCUUGAGCCCAGCUCUGCCUUCACUUCUCUAAGGUCUUUGAUUUUGUUGUUGUCAUUUGGGAACUCAGCCCACUCCAAGUCUCCCUCUGCUUUGUGCUCUUGCUUGUGAGAGGCUAUUGCUUUAUUCCACUUUUUGUCAUUGUCAUCGUUUUUUAGGAGGUACCAGAGAUUGAACCCAGGACCUCGUACACAGGGAGCAGACACUCAGCCACUGAGCUCCCCCCACUCCCCCCCCUUCUUUACCGCCCCCCUGUGACUUCCUGCGUGCUCUCUGCUCUGUGUCCAUCCACUGCCUGCUCUUCUACGUUCUUGCUCGUCUCCCUUUUGUUGCAUCACCUUGCUGAGUCGGCUCUCCACGGCGUCUGUGGGCGAGCCUGCCUUCACCAGGAGCUCCAGGACCUGAACCCAGGGCCUCCCAUGUGGUAGGUGGGAGCCCAGUUGCUGGAGCCACAGCCGCUCCCCCACCCCCGUUUUUUAAUUCAUGGCAAAAUGUUUUGUUGUAAUCUUUAUUGGCUUCAGUAGGGGUUUUUUUGGAUGUUCAUUGUUAGGUGGUUUGUCUGUCUCCUUCCUCCUCUCUUCUUUUAGCCUUUUUGUUGCUCUCCCCUCGCCUUUGAAAGGGGUCAGUUUUCUCCGGAGCAGCUGCUGUAGGCAGCCCGGGGGGGGGGGGCACUCCCGGCACAGGGCUGGCUCUGACUGCGAGCCUCUCUCCUCUCUCCUCAUCCCUGGCCCUUGAAAGGCACUGCCCAGCAGCUCCAGGGCAGGGCUGCACCAUUUUACAUUCCUGCCAACAAGGUCAGAGUGCUCCUCUUUCUCCACAUCCUCUCCAGCGCUUGUCAUUUUCCUUUUUUAAAAACAGGAGCCGUUCUCGUGGGCCCGAGGUGGGAUCUCCUUGUAGCUGUGAUGUGCAUUUCCUGAUGGCUAGUGACUUUGAGCAUCUUUCCGUGUGCCUAUUGGCCAUUUGUUUAUCUUAUUUCUAAAUCCCUAGCCAAGUGUUUUUCCCAUUUUUUAAUUGGGUCAUGUUUCUUUUUGUUGGUGAUGGUCUUUAUAAAUUUUUUUAUAUUAAACCCUUACCAGAUACAUGGUUUCCAAAUAUUUUCUCGCAUUCUGUGGGUUGUCUUUUUCUUUCUUGAUUAAGUCCGCUGAGGCAAAGGUCCCAUCUAUCUGGUUUUCCUCUUGUUUCUUGUGCUAUUGGUGUAAAGUCUGAGAAACCAUCAUCUAAGAAACCCAAAGAGGUUUCCCUUUUUCCUCUAGGAGUCAUAUCGUUUUAACUUGGGUAUGUGGUAUUUGAUCCACUUUGUGGUCAUUUUCUUUUAUGACAUGAGGCAGCAGUCCACCUUCACUCUUUUGCAUGUGGCUGUCAAGUUUUCCCAACACCGUUCGUGGAAGAGACUGUUCUUUCCCCACCUUUGGGUCAGUGAUCACUGGCCAAAGGUCUAAGAGUUUCCUUUUGAAUUUUCAGGUCAGUUCCACUGGCCCAUAUGUCUGUCCUUGUGCCAGUAACACACUUUUUUUUUUUUUUAAGACUUAUUUGCUUUAUUUUUAAAUUUAUUUAUCACCCCCUCCCCCAAAUGGCUCUCUGUCUGUCUGCUCACUGCUUGCUCGCCUCCGAGGCACCAGGAACCAAACCCAAGACCUCGCACGUGAGAGGCGAGUGUGCAGUGGCCUGAGCUACAUCCGCCUUUCACAGGCUGCAGCGUUUGCCUGCUUGUGGCAUCUGCUCGUCUUCUCUAGGAGGCACUGCAACCCGAACCCAGGACCUCCCUUGUGGUAGGCGGGUGCCCAACUGAUUGAGCCACAUCUGCUUCCCAGCCAUGCUGUUUUGAUUACUGUAGUUUUGUAGUAAGUUUUGAAAUCAGGAAGUGUGAGUCCUCCAACUUUGUUCUUUUUCAAGAUGUUUUUGGCAGUUCGGGGCUGCUUACUGUUCCAUAUUAAUUUGAUCAUUGGUUUAUCCAUUUCUGUGAUGAAGUCUAUUGGAAUUUUGAUUGGAAUUGCUUGACU